AUUGACCGCUGGCGGCAGGCCUAACACAUGCAAGUCGAGCGGAGCGGCGGACGGGUGAGUAAUGCCUAGGACUCUGCCUGGUAGUGGUGGAUAACGUUCGGAAACGGGCGCUAAUACCGCAUACUAUAACAUUAGCCUAGGUCGGAUUAGCUAGUUGGUGGGGUAACGGCCUACCCAGGCGACGAUCCGUAACUGGUCUGAGAGGAUGAUCAGUCACACUGUAACUGAGACACGGUCCAGACUCCUACGGGAGGCAGCAGUGGGGACUAUUGGACAAUGGGCGAAAGCCUGAUCCAGCCAUGACGCGUGUGUGAAGAAGGUCUUCGGAUUGUAAAGCACUUUAAGUUGGGAGGCGUUACCAACAGAAUAAGCACCGGCUAACUUCGUGCCAGCAGCCGCGGUAAUAC
rnacentral:rRNA from 1 species